GACGAACGCUGGCGGCGUGCUUAACACAUGCAAGUCGAACGGAAAGGCCCUGCUUUUGUGGGGUGCUCGAGUGGCGAACGGGUGAGUAACACGUGAGUAACCUGCCCUUGACUUUGGGAUAACUUCAGGAAACUGGGGCUAAUACCGGAUAGGAGCUCCUGCUGCAUGGUGGGGGUUGGAAAGUUUCGGCGGUUGGGGAUGGACUCGCGGCUUAUCAGCUUGUUGGUGGGGUAGUGGCUUACCAAGGCUUUGACGGGUAGCCGGCCUGAGAGGGUGACCGGCCACAUUGGGACUGAGAUACGGACCAGACUGCUACGGGAGGCAGCAGUGGGGAAUAUUGCACAAUGGGCGGAAGCCUGAUGCAGCAACGCCGCGUGCGGGAUGACGGCCUUCGGGUUGUAAACAGAUUUCGCCUGUGACGAAGCGUGAGUGACGGUAAUGGGUAAAGAAGCACCGGCUAACUACGUG
rnacentral:rRNA from 1 species